ensembl:rRNA 5S_rRNA 5S ribosomal RNA
GCCACCAGUCAUAUCACCCUGCAACUCACAACUGGCAACCCACUGAAGCUAAGCAGGUGUGAGCCUGGUCAGUACCUGGAUGGGAGACCUCCUGGGAAAAACUAAGGUUGCUGCUGGAA